rnacentral:rRNA from 1 species
UACGGGGGGUGCAAGCGUUGUUCGGAAUUACUGGGCGUAAAGGGCGCGUAGGCGGGUGGACAAGUCUCUCGUGAAAGCCCACGGCUCAACCGUGGAAUUGCGGGAGAUACUGUCUGUCUUGAGUCCGGGAGAGGAGGGUGGAAUUCCCAGUGUAGCGGUGAAAUGCGUAGAUAUUGGGAGGAACACCGGUGGCGAAGGCGGCUCUCUGGACCGGUACUGACGCUGAGGCGCGAAAGCUAGGGGAGCGAACAGG